rnacentral:rRNA from 1 species
AGAGUUUGAUCAUGGCUCAGGAUGAACGCUGGCGGCGUGCCUAAUACAUGCAAGUCGAACGGGGAGUUCGCAAGGGCUUCCAGUGGCGAACGGGUGAGUAACGCGUGGGCGACCUGCCCCAAAGCGGGGGAUAACAGCUCGAAAGGGCUGCUAAUACCCCAUGAGGUCCCGCUGGUUAGAGGCGGCGGGACGAAAGGCGCAAGCCGCUUUGGGAGGGGCCUGCGUCCCAUCAGCUAGUUGGUCGGGUAACGGCUGACCAAGGCGAUGACGGGUAGGGGACCUGAGAGGGUGAUCCCCCACACUGGCACUGAAACACGGGCCAGACACCUACGGGUGGCAGCAGUAGGGAAUAUUGCACAAUGGGCGCAAGCCUGAUGCAGCAACGCCGCGUGCGCGACGAAGGCCUUCGGGUCGUAAAGCGCUUUUCGGGGAGAUGAGCACGGACAGUAUCCCCGGAAGAAGGAUCGGCUAACUACGUGCCAGCAGCCGCGGUAAAACGUAGGAUCCGAGCGUUAUCCGAAUUCACUGGGCGUAAAGCGCAUGCAGGCGGCCGCACAAGUUGGAUGUGAAAUCUCCCGGCUCAACUGGGAGGGGACGUUCAAAACUGUGCGGCUCGAGGGCGGUAGAGGAAGGUAGAAUUCCCGGUGUAGUGGUGAAAUGCGUAGAUAUCGGGAGGAAUACCCGUGGCGAAGGCGACCUUCUGGACCGUUUCUGACGCUCAGAUGCGAAAGCUAGGGGAGCGAACGGGAUUAGAAACCCCGGUAGUCCUAGCCGUAAACGAUGUCGACUGGGCGUGGGUGGGGUAAAAGCCAUCCGUGCCGAAGCUAACGCGUGAAGUCGACCGCCUGGGGACUACGGCCGCAAGGUUAAAACUCAAAUGAAUUGACGG